GUGCUUGCUUCAGCAGCACAUAUACUAAAAAAUUGGAACGAUGCAGAGAUUAGCAUGGCCCCUGUGCAAGGAUGACACACAAAUUUGUGAAGCAUUCCCUAUUUCU